AUACAUCCUGCCACAUUGAGCCUCCCCAACUCUUUGUAACAGUUUACAGAAUGAUGCCAGAUACCAUAGGAAACCUUCAGAGAGCUUUUGGAGUCUAAAGCAUGAAGGAUGAGAGCUGGCAUCUAAAUAGAUACUUAUCUGCAUCUUAAAAAAUGAAAGAUAUACAGAACAUUACAGCAAAAUUAGAGGACCUAAAUCAAAAUGGGAAAAAGGUACUGGUAAUGCCACCCACCGCACCACUCUGUCACCGGGUCACUUUCAGGACUCCUGAUGCUGCUGCCACCAUAUGUUCUCCUCAAGCUGAUGCCACCUCCAGGCUGCCUCAUUCUAGAAUAGUGUAUUAUUUAAGCAUGCAGGUGCACUAAUGAACAUGCAGUAUCUAAGUGAGUACACCGCUCACAUUUUUGUAAAUAUUUUAUGUGACAACACUGAAGAAAUGACACUACUACAAUGUAAAGUAGUGAGUGCACAGCCUGUAUAAGUGUUUAAUGUGUCCUCUCAAAAUAACUCAACACACGCUCAUUAAUGUCUAAACUUUGGCAAGUGUCCAAAUUGGGCCCAAAAGUGUCAAUAUUUGAAUAUGUCAAUAAGUGUGACCA